GUCUAUGGCCAUACCACCUGAAUGUACCUGAUCGCAUCUGAUCUCAGAACCUGAGCAGGGUAGGGCUUGGUCACAUAUGACAAAUAUUCACAUUUUAUUUCCAGUUACUACACAUU
rnacentral:rRNA from 1 species